rnacentral:rRNA from 1 species
UACGAAGGGGGCUAGCGUUGUUCGGAAUUACUGGGCGUAAAGGGCGCGUAGGCGGUUUGUCAAGUCAGGCGUGAAAGCCCCGGGCUCAACCUGGGAACUGCGCUUGAGACUGGCAGGCUCGAGUUCGGGAGAGGAUGGUGGAAUUCCCAGUGUAGAGGUGAAAUUCGUAGAUAUUGGGAAGAACACCGAUGGCGAAGGCAGCCAUCUGGAUCGACACUGACGCUGAGGCGCGAAAGCGUGGGGAGCAAACAGG